rnacentral:rRNA from 1 species
GGUGCUGCAUGGCUGUCGUCAGCUCGUGUCGUGAGAUGUUCGGUUAAGUCCGCUAACGAGCGCAACCUCGCUGUGUGUUAUAUGUGUCACACGGGACUGCCGGUCUUAAGCCGGAGGAAGGUGGGGAUGAUGUCAAGUCAGCAUGGCCUUUAUAUCCUGGGCUACACACACGCUACAAUGGCCAACACAAUAGGUUGCUAAGCCGCGAGGUGGCGCCAAUCCAUAAAGUUGGUCUCAGUUCAGAUUGUAGGCUGCAACCCGCCUGCAUGAAGAUGGAGUUGCUAGUAACCGCAGGUCAGCUAUACUGCGGUGAAUACGUUCCCGGGGCUU